rnacentral:lncRNA from 1 species
AUAGGGCUUCGCUGGUGGCUCAGGGGUAAAGAAUCCGCCUGCCAAUGCAGAAGAUAGGGGUUUGGUCCCUGGUCCAGGAAGAUCUCACGUGACACGGAGCAGUUAAGCCCGAGUUCUAGAGCCCACAGCUACUGAGCCUGUGAUGUGGAGCCAAAGAGCGGCAACGACUGAGCCCACGCGCCGCAGCUGCUGAAGCCUGCGUGCCAGGGCACAGUGCUCGGAGCCAUGCAGUCAGCGGCCCCCGCACCACGGCUGGAGAAGAGCCUGUGCCGCAGCCGAGACCCGCACAGCCAAAAUAGAGAAGGUCAUAUCCAGCUCUACCACCCCAUGGAUGGUAACCCGCAGACUCCUCGGUCCUGAGGAUAUAGUGAAGAGCAAACAAACAGGGGACCUGUUUUCAAUUGAGCCUAAAUUCUUGCAACAGAAACCAAAGAUAAAGUUUGAAAGUAGAGACUUGUGCAUAGAAAACUGUUAGCUAUCAGAAAAGUCAAAAGAAUAGUAUGGUGACCACUUACAUACCACCUACCUAGAUUCAGAUUAAUCUAAAGCAUUAUUUUUGUCCUGUCCUCCCCUAAGGCACUAAAGUCCAAUGACUCUUCUAAUAUUUCGGUACAGUUCAGUCUUCCUCAACGUUUGCUUUAGGAGCUGACCAUCACUUGAGCACUACCAUGUGGCAGGCCAGGCCUAAUUUUGACAACCGUAAGACCAGCCUUCUUGAAAGCUCCAGGAAUGAUCUUAAUAUAUGGAAUGUGUUUCCUGUCAGAGAAAUGUUGGACAAAUUUUCUAUGGAGGGUUGUGGGAUCUACUGUAAACUUUUGAAGGAAAGACUUCUCUCCUUUUGGUACAUAUCUAAAGGUGCUAAUGAAGUAGUGCGAAGACCCUGCAGGAUACCACAGAAACGUCCGGAGUAGAGCACAUGCGUAUUUUCUCUCCCAUGAUAAAAGGAUCUUCCAGAGCAACAAGGCACUGAGGCUGCUCUAGGAUGAAAGUGUCUGGGGCAGAAAGCACCAAUCCCUGGGAGCAGCUCUACUGAUAGCAUUUAUUGCCUCCCAGUUAGAGACCCAAGUCUCCUUGGAUCGCUCCCUGUCUCCUUACUCAAACUUACCUCAUCUAAUCUUUGGUGUCCACACUGCCCCCAUGAUGAUUUUGACUCUUCUUGGAAAGGAAAUGACAACAACAAAAUAAACCUCCUUUUCAUAGAACAGGCUGGGGCCUGUGGUGAGAUGGGAGGGCUCCUUACCAGACUGUCUCACCCUUCAGCUAACUUACUGUCCUGUUUGGACUGGAAAGAUCCAUCCCUAAAGGUCCAUCCCUCCAGACCCUGUAUAAUCUUUCAGCAGUUUGGGGGGAAGGAAUUUACAUUUUGACUCAUAAAUGCCUCCACAACAUGCCAGAAUCAGGGCAGCCCCACUUUUCCAACUGCAUGGGCAUCUGGUAUGCUGAGCGUAAAAUCCUGAGCUGAAUUAUUUUCAGUUUUGACUCCUUUGAUAAGGUGUCUUAAGUGAGAGCAUUUUGUUUCUCAGCUUUACAGAGAAUUGUACUCAUUGUUCUCACUCAUUUUCUUUUAAUGACUGGAAUGAUUUUAUUACAAGCUAUGACUCCUUUAUGAGUGAAUACAUCUGAGAAUCCAAACGCAGUCUCCCAGUGGAUGCAGCCAUUUGUAAAACUGUCAGGGAUUCUACAGGCAGAGGUUUUAAGAAGUGAGAGAAGCAUUUCAUCAACUCUUCAUGCAUAUUCUUCUGACUGCCAAGGAAAUUAAAUUUGUUUUCACCUCCUGAAACCUCAGAGCAUGUUUAUAAUAUAGACCUAAUAUGUAUUUAAUGCUAACCUGCAAUCAGUUUACUCAUGGUGGUGAAUACCUUGCAGUAUAUAUUUUUUCCUCUUUAGAAGUUUUCCCUUAGCAUAUCUGUUGAUGAUCUAAUUUGUGGGUCUGUAUCCUAAAGGACUUGUAAAUUUACAAUUUUUUAAUUGAAAUAUCUAAAACUGGUCAUUUUUAUAUUUUAGUUUCACCUGUUAGGAUGUUUGGUUAAUUAUACAGAAAUAGUACAAGUUCAGGGGAAGACUGUAUUAAUCUUUGCUUCCAAGUGCUUAGAGGAGUGCCUGCUUCAUAGUAAGCAUCCCACAACUGUUUAUUGAAAUGCACAUAUGCAAAGUGGGUUUGUGCCUUAUAUACAACACAUAAGUUUAAUCUCCCCCAAAAUUUCAUUUUAUCCAUUUUUAAUAGUUCUAUUUGUGUUUUAUUGUAAGCAUUCUCAAAUCUUAGUAGGGUAUUUUUGUUAUAUACACACAAAACAACAUGAAUAUAAAAGUUGUAGUGUACAAAAGGCCAAUAGAUACAUGUAAAGAUGUUCUGUCUCGCUGAUGAUGAGAUAAAUGCAAAUUAAAACUGUAACAUAAUUUUGUCUGUUUGGCACACAUGUAAAAGUCUGGUAACAUUUUGAGCAUUUUGAGCUGAUGAGAGCGAUGCCAUACAUUGUUGAUGAGAAUUGAAAUAGGUAUAUGAAUUCAAGAAUGAAAAUGUUCAUUUCACUUAAGAGAGUCAUCUCAAUACUGGGAAUCUAGCCUACAAAAAUAAUUGCACAAAUCUGUAAGUACACUUGCACAAAGAACUUUGUAUUAAUGAAUAAUUUUAAACAAUCUCAAUGCCAUCUGUAGAAGCAUGAAUAAGGAAACUGUGGUUCAGACAAUGGCAUAUAAUGCAACUUUUAAAAAGAACAAACUAGAUCUACAUAGCCCAGAGGGUGGUCAGGGUAUAUUUCUAUGUGAGAAAAUUAGUUAUGAANNNNNNNNNNNNNNNNNNNNNNNNNNNNNNNNNNNNNNNNNNNNNNNNNNNNNNNNUAUAUAUAUAUAUAUAUAUAUAUGGGUGUAAGUAUAUGUGUCUAUGUGUGUAAGAGUAUAGGUAUAAAGAUG